CUAAUCGAACCAUCUAGUAGCUGGUUCCGGCCGAAGUUUCCCCCAGGAUAGCUGAAACUAUUAUACAGAUACAUCCGGUAAAGCUAAUGUUUAGAGGAAUAGGGGAUAAUAUAUCCUUUAUCUAUUUACAAACUAUAAAUGGGUGUGAUAUUAUGAUUACUUAAUUUGAAUCAUAAUUUCGAUUGUAUAGUUUCAAGUGGGCCAUUUUUGGUAAGCAGAACUGGCGACGUGGGAUGAACCAAAAGUAUUGUUAAAGUGCCUAAAUUUUUGCUCAUCAGACCCCAUAAAAAGUGUUGUUUGAUAUUGACAGCAGGGCGGUGGCCAUGGAAGUCGGAAUCCGCUAAGGAUCGUGUAACAACUCACCUGCCGAAUCAAGCAGCCUUGAAAAUGGAUGGCGCUUGAGCAAAAUACUUAGACAAUACCAUAUAUUUAUAUUUAAAAAAUAAAAUAAAUAUAUGUGUAGGCUGGCGUAGUAAUAGCAUUGAAGGUUAUAAGCGUAAGCUUGACUGGAGCUGUUAUUAGUGCAGAUCUUGGUGAUAGUAGCAAAUACACAAGUGAGAAUCUUGUGGACCGAAGUGGAAAAGGGUUUCACGUCAACAUCAUUUGACUGUGAGUUAGUCGGUCCUAAGCUAAAAUUGAAAAAUUUUUAUUCAUAUAUAGCAAAAGGGAAAUAGAUUAAUAUUUCUAUACUAUCUAUGGAGAUAAUAUAGGAUAAAAACUAUAUUAUGCAUGGUAACAUAAAUGAAAUUAACUACAAUAUAACAAGUUUUGGGUAGAGAUAUCUUCUCUAUUUAAGUUAUUAAAUCUAUGGAAAUUGCUCAGCAAGAGAUAUAGAUGAAAUUUUUAUUAACGUAGAGUACUAACAUUUUGUUGGUAUCCAAAGUGCUUGUUAUAUUACUUAAAAAGUUAAUGGAAGCAUAAUAAAUUUCAUAGAAUAACCGUACCCAUAUCCGCAACAGGUUUCCAAGAUGUUUAGUCUCUGGUCGAUGAAAUAAUGUAGGUAAGGGAAGUCGGCAAAAUAGAUUCGUAACUUGGGAAAAGAAUUGGCUCUUGAGAUGUAGAUAUUCGGGUAUAAUGUAUCUAAUGGUUAUUUUAAUUAAUAUAAAAUGAAUACUAGUAAUAGUUAUUUGAUUUAUAUUUAUUAUUAAUCAUUAACAUAAUACUUACAAAUAUUUGAAAUAUAAUAUUUUAACGAAUAUCAAUAUAUAUACAUUAAUCAAGAACUGGCACGGACAAGAGGAAUCCGACUGUCUAAUUAAAACAGAGGAGACAGAUGAUG
rnacentral:rRNA from 1 species